CGGGCAGGCAGCAGCGCGUCUCCUUGGAAUAGCGCCUCCCCCCGGAGCUCCCGACGACCCCCCACCCCCCGGAGCCGAGGAGGCGGCAGGAUGUGAACUUGUCGCGCGGACCGCUCGCUUUAUUUCCUGCGGAGGAGCCUCGAGAUGUCGGAUUGUUCACGCCCGUGCGAAACUGCCGCUGGUUCGUUCCCCUCAAGGAGCCGGGGUGUUUAAUGAAGCCGGGGGUCAGUGGCAGUGUGCGGCUAAUUGGCCAAGUUUGCCCGGGGCUCCGGCUGCCUGUGAUUGAAGUGUCCGGCGAGCGUCGCCCGCUCCAUUCCGCUCUGCCAGCGCCUCCACCCUCCUCCACCUAAAUACAGAAGUGGGGCAGGAC